AUGAAUGCUACCUUGGAUCUUUCGGUUGGGUAUAAGUGUGGUUGCAUCUCCAGGACCAGCGAGCAUUGGAGAAGAAAACUGCUGCAAGCCUCCGCCAAACCAGAGUAGGGCGCCAGCCUGGCCAUGGGACUGGCGUGCACAGCAGGUGAGGAAGUGCUGGCGUUGAUGGUGGAAGUGAUCGCUGGUGUCGGGGAUGCGGGUAGAGUGGUGAGUGUCCUACGUAGUGCAUCGACCAGGUCUUGAAAGGGGUCCGUAAAAGGCUCAUGCUUGUGCCAAUAGGUGUGGGUCUGGUCUUCUGUUACGGAAUACCACAGGAGGCUGAGGAAUAACAGAAAGACUGUGACCCAGUGCUGGGUAGAGUGAUAUGGUCUGUAGUAGCAGUGUAGAGACCUCAAAGGAGGGAGGUGUACCACACACACACACGGAGAAUGCUGGGAACUUCAGGAGAUCGCUGCAGAGAGAGACACACGAUGACGAGUAUUGGAGAACAUACACAAGGCACGCACAUCUCUCCACACGCGUUCUUUCUUCCCAUGAUGACCAGCAAUUGAGCAUCAACUCCUUGGGCGUAUUAGACGCUGGCUAACAGAUCGACCAGUGACGGCUACGAAAGCCUUCAGUCAACACGGCAUUUAAGAUCCAUUAUCAUGUGUCUUCAGGUGAGUAAACACAUCUUCAUUGAUCUGUUGGACAGACAGAAAUUUGUUUUCUUGUUCCCUCAUCAAAAGCAGAAAGCAAACAGUAUCGAAGCAUCACUUCAGAUGUGACACUUACAUGAGGUUUCAAUAAUAAUCCUGGAUUUACCAGAGCUUGUUAAAGCAGGAGCUCGCUGGCUUUUCUGCGGGAAAGUCGGUCGCGCUAUAAUUUCCAAAUUGCGCUGGAGAGUGAAUGUGGGGUUGAGGGUCUCACAGCGGGAGCUGGAUUGCUCCUCUCAUGCUCGUUUAAUGACACAUAAGCAGAGCGUCUCCGGCCUACAGCAACACAUUACCACACAGAUAAUGCCAAACGUUUGCUGUGGUGUUUUUAUUCCCCUUCUCCCUCCUGUAUAACACACAGUGGGUAAUUCACACUAUAUUAAAACUGUUGGUGCAACAAAAGCGCUGUAAUUACCAGCGUAAACGAUCAUCUGCAGAUCAUCAAGAACAUGUCCCAGCAUCCUCCUCUUCCACACUAUCACAAUUGCUCUUGCUCUCCAUGUGAAAUGUUUGUUUUGUGUUUUUCUAGCUGAUUAAAUCUUUCUUUCCAGAAGUGCAAACAGACAUGAUUUUAUUAGUGAGUGUCAAUGUUUCACUCGAAAGCUGGAGCUCCAUCAUCACGUGUCUCUUCCAGUGGUCGGCAGUGAUGUGAAGACGCUGGAUUUCUAUCAGGAGCCUCACAGGUCCUGUGUUCACAUGCAGGAUGGCCAUGAAUUCUCCUUUAUGAAGGCUGUGCAUCCCCGCUCCUCCACACAUUAUUG
rnacentral:lncRNA from 1 species